ensembl:snoRNA
AUCCUUUUCUGGGUCAUAAGCAUGAUAAUUGGGUGUUCACACAUUUGUGACAUGUGCCGCCCUUGAAUCUUGGUAUGCAUUUGGCACAUUAUCCACCUGACA